rnacentral:rRNA from 1 species
CCGGUUUAAGCGUGUAGGCUGGUUUUCCAGGCAAAUCCGGAAAAUCAAGGCUGAGGCGUGAUGACGAGGCACUGCGGUGCUGAAGCAACAAAUGCCCUGCUUCCAGGAAAAGCCUCUAAGCAUCAGGUAACAUCAAAUCGUACCCCAAACCGACACAGGUGGUCAGGUAGAGAAUACCAAGGCGCUUGAGAGAACUCGGGUGAAGGAACUAGGCAAAAUGGUGCCGUAACUUCGGGAGAAGGCACGCUGAUAUGUAGGUGAAGUCCCUCGCGGAUGGAGCUGAAAUCAGUCGAAGAUACCAGCUGGCUGCAACUGUUUAUUAAAAACACAGCACUGUGCAAACACGAAAGUGGACGUAUACGGUGUGACGCCUGCCCGGUGCCGGAAGGUUAAUUGAUGGGGUUAGCGCAAGCGAAGCUCUUGAUCGAAGCCCCGGUAAACGGCGGCCGUAACUAUAACGGUCCUAAGGUAGCGAAAUUCCUUGUCGGGUAAGUUCCGACCUGCACGAAUGGCGUAAUGAUGGCCAGGCUGUCUCCACCCGAGACUCAGUGAAAUUGAACUCGCUGUGAAGAUGCAGUGUACCCGCGGCAAGACGGAAAGACCCCGUGAACCUUUACUAUAGCUUGACACUGAACAUUGAGCCUUGAUGUGUAGGAUAGGUGGGAGGCUUUGAAGUGUGGACGCCAGUCUGCAUGGAGCCGACCUUGAAAUACCACCCUUUAAUGUUUGAUGUUCUAACGUUGACCCGUAAUCCGGGUUGCGGACAGUGUCUGGUGGGUAGUUUGACUGGGGCGGUCUCCUCCUAAAGAGUAACGGAGGAGCACGAAGGUUGGCUAAUCCUGGUCGGACAUCAGGAGGUUAGUGCAAUGGCAUAAGCCAGCUUGACUGCGAGCGUGACGGCGCGAGCAGGUGCGAAAGCAGGUCAUAGUGAUCCGGUGGUUCUGAAUGGAAGGGCCAUCGCUCAACGGAUAAAAGGUACUCCGGGGAUAACAGGCUGAUACCGCCCAAGAGUUCAUAUCGACGGCGGUGUUUGGCACCUCGAUGUCGGCUCAUCACAUCCUGGGGCUGAAGUAGGUCCCAAGGGUAUGGCUGUUCGCCAUUUAAAGUGGUACGCGAGCUGGGUUUAGAACGUCGUGAGACAGUUCGGUCCCUAUCUGCCGUGGGCGCUGGAGAACUGAGGGGGGCUGCUCCUAGUACGAGAGGACCGGAGUGGACGCAUCACUGGUGUUCGGGUUGUCAUGCCAAUGGCACUGCCCGGUAGCUAAAUGCGGAAGAGAUAAGUGCUGAAAGCAUCUAAGCACGAAACUU